rnacentral:rRNA from 1 species
AGCGAACGCUGGCGGCAGGCCUAACACAUGCAAGUCGAACGGGCUCUUCGGAGCUAGUGGCGGACGGGUGAGUAACACGUGGGAACGUGCCUUUAGGUUCGGAAUAAGCCCGGGAAACUGGGUCUAAUACCGAAUGUGCCCUUCGGGGGAAAGAUUUAUCGCCUUUAGAGCGGCCCGCGUCUGAGUAGCUUGUUGGUGAGGUAAUGGCUCACCAAGGCGACGAUCAGUAGCUGGUCUGAGAGGAUGACCAGCCACAUUGGGACUGAGACACGGCCCAAACUCCUACGGGAGGCAGCAGUGGGGAAUCUUGCGCAAUGGGCGAAAGCCUGACGCAGCCAUGCCGCGUGGAUGAUGAAGGUCUUAGGAUUGUAAAAUCCUUUCACCGGUGAAGAUAAUGACUGUAGCCGGAGAAGAAGCCCCGGCUAACUUCGUGCCAGCCGCCGCCGUAACAC